GGUUAAGUUAUUAAGGGCGCAUGGUGGAUGCCUUGGCACUAGGAGCCGAUGAAGGACGUGACUAACUGCGAUAUGCUUCGGGGAGCUGUAAGUAAGCUUUGAGCCGGAGAUUUCCGAAUGGGGAAACCCAGCGGGUUUAACCGCCCGUUACUUCCAGGUGAAUACAUAGUCUGGAUAGAGGUAGACGUGGGGAACUGAAACAUCUAAGUACCCACAGGAAGAGAAAGAAAAUUCGAUUCCCUGAGUAGCGGCGAGCGAAACGGGAAGAGCCCAAACCGAAAGGCUUGCCUUUCGGGGUUGUAGGACAGAACAUUGGAGUUACCAAGAAAUGAAGUAGCUGAAUUAGUUGGGAAACUAAGCCAAAGAAGGUGAGAGCCCUGUAAGUGAAACUUC
rnacentral:ncRNA from 1 species